rnacentral:rRNA from 1 species
UCCGGUUGAUCCCGCCAGAGGUUACUGCUAUCGAGGUUCGACUAAGCCAUGCGAGUCGAAUGUAGCAAUACAUGGCGUACUGCUCAGUAACACGUGGACAACCUACCCUUAGGUCGGGGAUAAACCCGGGAAACUGGGUAUAAUACCCGAUAGCCCUCGGAUGCUGGAAUGCACCGAGGUCUAAAGCUCCGGCGCCUAAGGAUGGGUCUGCGGCCUAUCAGGUAGUAGUGGGUGUAGCGUACCUACUAGCCUACGACGGGUACGGGUUGUGAGAGCAAGAGCCCGGAGAUGGAUUCUGAGACACGAAUCCAGGCCCUACGGGGUGCAGCAGGCGCGAAAACUUUACAAUGCUGGAAACAGCGAUAAGGGGACCUCGAGUGCCAGGUUACAAAUCUGGCUGUCGUGAUGCCUAAAAAGCAUUGCAUAGCAAGGGCCGGGCAAGACCGGUGCCAGCCGCCGCGGUAACACCGGCGGCUCGAGUGGUAACCGCUAUUAUUGGGUCUAAAGGGUCUGUAGCCGGCCGGAUAAGUCUUUUGGGAAAUCUGGCAGCUUAACUGUCAGGCUUUCAGAGGAUACUGUCUGGCUCGAGGCCGGGAGAGGUGAGAGGUACUUCAGGGGUAGGGGUGAAAUCUUGUAAUCCUUGAAGGACCACCAGUGGCGAAGGCGUCUCACCAGAACGGACCUGACGGCAAGGGAC